GCGCAGCAGGCGCGAAACCUUCGCAAUGCAGGAAGCUGCGACGAGGGAACUCCAAGUGCCUACGCUCAGCGUAGGCUGUUCUCAAGCCUAGAAAGCUUGAGGAGUAAGGGCUGGGUAAGACGGGUGCCAUCUGUGGGUAGCAGUCAAUAGAUUCGAUUUGUUACUGCAAGGCAUAAGCCGCCGCGGUAAUACCCGCAGCCCAAGUGGUGGCCGCUUUUAUGGGCCUAAAGCGUCCGUAGCCGGCCCGGUAAAUGCCUGGGUAAAUCGUGGAGCCCAACUUCACGAAUUCCGGGUAGACUGCCGAGCUCGGGACCGGAAGA
rnacentral:rRNA from 1 species